rnacentral:rRNA from 1 species
CGGGGCAUCCCGGAGGCAGGAAAGGCUUCGGCCGGACAGGGAUGGGCAUGCGGCGCAUUAGGCAGUAGGCGGGGUAACGGCCCACCUAACCGACGAUGCGUAGGGGUUCUGAGAGGAAGGUCCCCCACACUGGUACUGAGACACGGACCAGACUCCUACGGGAGGCAGCAGUGAGGAAUAUUGGUCAAUGGUCGGGAGACUGAACCAGCCAAGCCGCGUGAGGGAGGAAGGUACAGAGUAUCGUAAACCUCUUUUGUCAGGGAACAAAGACUGGGACGCGUCCCCGGAUGAGUGUACCUGAAGAAAAAGCAUCGGCUAACUCCGUGCCAGCAGCCGCGGUAAUACGGAGGAUGCGAGCGUUAUCCGGAUUUAUUGGGUUUAAAGGGUGCGCAGGCGGUCUGUUAAGUCAGCGGUCAAAGCCCGGGGCUCAACCCCGGCCCGCCGUUGAAACUGGCAGUCUCGAGUUGGAGAGAAGUAUGCGGAAUGCGCGGUGUAGCGGUGAAAUGCAUAGAUAUCGCGCAGAACUCCGAUUGCGAAGGCAGCAUGCCGGCUCCACACUGACGCUGAGGCACGAAAGCGUGGGUAUCGAACAGGAUUAGAUACCCUGGUGGUCCACGCAGUAAACGAUGAAUGAUGGCUGUCCGGG